AGUUCGAUCAUGGCUCAGAUUGAACGCUGGCGGGAUGCUUUACACAUGCACGAACGCAAGUACGGACUUUAUCUGUAUAUGGCGAACGGGUGAGUAAUGUAUCGGAACGUGCCUAGUAGCGGGAUAAUCACGCGAAAGCGUAUUGGCUACCGCAUACUGCGCCCUUCGGGGGAAAGCGGGGGACCUUCGGGCCUCGCACUAUUAGGAGCGGCCGAUAUCGAUUGGGCUAGUUGUGGUAACGGCUCACCAAGGCGAUUACUGAUCCAGUUGGUCGAGAGGACGACCAGCCACACUGGGACUGAGACACGGCCCAGACUUCCUACGGGAGGCAGCAGUGGGGAAUUUUGGACAAUGGGGGAAACUCCUGAUCCAGCCAUCCCGCGUGUGCGAUGAAGGCCUUCGGGUUGUAAAGCACUUUUGGCAGGAAGAAACGGCACGGGAUAAUACCCGUGCAACUGACGGUACCUGCAGAAUAAGCACCGGCUAACUACGUGCCAGCAGCCGCGGUAAUACGUAGGGUGCAAGCGUUAAUCGGAAUUACUGGGCGUAAAAGCGCGAAGGGUCUGGAAAGAAAGAUGUGAAAUCCCAGAGCUUAACUUUGGAACUGCAUUUUUAACUACCGAGCUAGAGUGUGCCGUGAGGGAGGUGGAAUUCCGCGUAGCAGUGAAAUGCGUAGAUAUGCGUGGAGGAACACCGAUGGCGAAGGCAGCCUCCUGGGAUAACACUGACGCUCAUGCACGAAAGCGUGGGGAGCAAACAGGAUUAGAUACCCUGGUAGUCCACGCCCUAAACGAUGUCAACUAGCUGUUGGGGCCUUCGGGCCUGGUAGCGCAGCUAACGCGUGGUGUUGGCCGCCUGGGAGUACGGUCGCAAGAUUAAAACCCGUAUGAAUUGACGGGGACUCCGUACAAGCGUGAUGAUGGAUUAAUUCGAUGCAACGCGAAAAACCUUACCUACCCUUGAUAAGCCCAAUCCCGAAGAGAUUUGGGGAGUGUCGCAAGAGAACCGAACACAGGUGCUGCAUGGCUGUCGUCAGCUCGUGUUUCGUGAGAUGCUGGGUUAAGUCCUGCAACGAGCGCAACCUUGUCAUUAGUUGCUACAAAGGGCACUCAAUGAGACUGCUUCGGUGACAACUGGAGAAGGUAGAUGACGUCAAGUCCUCAUGGCCCUUAUGGGUAGGGCUUCACACGUCAUACAAUGGUCGGGACAGAGGUCACCAACCCGGCGAGGGGGAGCGCCAAUCCCAGAAACCCGAUCGUAGUCCGGAUCGUACGCCUGCAACCUGACUCAGUGAAGUCGGAACGCCAGUAAUCGCGGAUCACAUGUCGCGGUGAAUACGUUCCCGGGUCUUGUACACACCGCCCGUCACACCAUGGGAGUGGGUUUUACCAGAAGCAGUUAGCCCAACCGCAGGAGGGCGAUUACCACGGUAGGAUUCAUGACUGGGGUGAAGUCGUAACAAGGUAA
rnacentral:rRNA from 1 species